GAAGCUAAAUUCUGCUUCUCCAUGUUUGGUUCUGGUGAUAGAAGACUGACUUUGUAACCCUCUUUAUGUGUCUCUGAAAGUUCAGGUCUGCGUUCAUCACCACACCCAGAUUUCUGGCCUGAUCAAUACCUUCCAGCUGUAAUAAAAACAGUGUCUGUGUGCUGACUUUAGAUAGUUCCUCUUUAGGUCCAAAGAUAAGAUCUUCAGUUUAGAGAAAAAUGAAAAACUAAAGGAACUGAUUUAGUUAAUUUAGCAGUAAUGCUGUAAACUUGUCAUUUGUAUCACUACAUCAUGUGCUGCUGAAACUCAUUUGUAUUGUUUCACAGGUAUUGUCAAAUGUUUUCCAAUAAUAAGAUUGGAACACAGAUGUGCAUUGUGGCCUUUAUAACACCUGACAGUGUCAGUUAUUUAAAAAAC